UAGAGUUUGAUCCUGGCUCAGGACGAACGCUGGCGGUAUGCUUAACACAUGCAAGUCGAACGGUCUCUUCGGAGAUAGUGGCGGACGGGUGAGUAACGCGUGAGAAUCUGCCUUCAGGUCUGGGACAACCAUUGGAAACGGUGGCUAAUACCGGAUGAGCAGAGAUGUAAAAGAUUAAUUGCCUGAAGAUGAGCUCGCGUCUGAUUAGCUAGUUGGUGGGGUAAGAGCCUACCAAGGCGACGAUCAGUAGCUGGUCUGAGAGGAUGAUCAGCCACACUGGGACUGAGACACGGCCCAGACUCCUACGGGAGGCAGCAGUGGGGAAUUUUCCGCAAUGGGCGAAAGCCUGACGGAGCAAUACCGCGUGAGGGAGGAAGGCUCUUGGGUCGUAAACCUCUUUUCUCAGGGAAGAAAAAAAUGACGGUACCUGAGGAAUAAGCAUCGGCUAACUCCGUGCCAGCAGCCGCGGUAAUACGGAGGAUGCAAGCGUUAUCCGGAAUGAUUGGGCGUAAAGCGUCCGCAGGUGGCUAUGUAAGUCUGCUGUUAAAGAGUCUAGCUCAACUAGAUAAAAGCAGUGGAAACUACAUGGCUAGAGUGCGUUCGGGGCAGAGGGAAUUCCUGGUGUAGCGGUGAAAUGCGUAGAGAUCAGGAAGAACACCGGUGGCGAAAGCGCUCUGCUAGGCCGCAACUGACACUGAGGGACGAAAGCUAGGGGAGCGAAUGGGAUUAGAUACCCCAGUAGUCCUAGCCGUAAACGAUGGAUACUAGGCGUGGCUUGUAUCGACCCGAGCCGUGCCGUAGCUAACGCGUUAAGUAUCCCGCCUGGGGAGUACGCACGCAAGUGUGAAACUCAAAGGAAUUGACGGGGCCCGCACAAGCGGUGGAGUAUGUGGUUUAAUUCGAUGCAACGCGAAGAACCUUACCAAGGCUUGACAUGUCGCGAAUCUUCUGGAAAGGGAAGAGUGCCUUUCGGGAGCGCGAACACAGGUGGUGCAUGGCUGUCGUCAGCUCGUGUCGUGAGAUGUUGGGUUAAGUCCCGCAACGAGCGCAACCCUCGUUUUUAGUUGCCAGCAUUAAGUUGGGCACUCUAGAGAGACUGCCGGUGACAAACCGGAGGAAGGUGGGGAUGACGUCAAGUCAGCAUGCCCCUUACGUCUUGGGCUACACACGUACUACAAUGCUACGGACAAAGGGCAGCUACACAGCGAUGUGAUGCUAAUCUCAGAAACCGUAGCUCAGUUCAGAUCGAAGGCUGCAACUCGCCUUCGUGAAGUCGGAAUCGCUAGUAAUUGCAGGUCAGCAUACUGCAGUGAAUUCGUUCCCGGGCCUUGUACACACCGCCCGUCACACCAUGGAAGCUGGUAGUGCCCGAAGUCAUUACUCCAACCGAAAGGAGGAGGAUGCCUAAGGCAGGACUGGUGACUGGGGUGAAGUCGUAACAAGGUAGCCGUACCGGAAGGUGUGGCUGGAUCACCUCCUUUUAGGGAGACCGAAUCCACUCAAAUGUCGAAAGCAAAAAGCAAAUAGAUAAUGAGAUGGUCAACCUAGGUCGUUCGAGGUUGGUUUGAAGCUUUCAAAGUAUUAUUGGUUCGUUAAAUUUAAAUAUCUGCAAAGAUUGGGAAGAAAAUCAGCAACUGAGCUUCAAGCCAGACUGCUGGUAUUAACCAGCCAGAACCUUGAAAACUGCAUAGUAACGCGAUUUGAAAAGCAGGCAGACACAGAAAAAGUGAAAACUGUUUUGAAAACAAAUGUAAAGUGGUCAAGCUAAUAAGGGCUGACGGUGGAUACCUAGGCACACAGAG
rnacentral:rRNA from 1 species